rnacentral:tRNA from 1 species
GCCGCCUUAGCUCAGGGGUAGAGCACGUCAUUGGUAAUGACGGGGCCGCAAGUUCGAAUCUUGCAGGCGGC